rnacentral:rRNA from 1 species
CACGUAGGGGGCAAGCGUUGUCCGGAUUUAUUGGGCGUAAAGAGCUCGUAGGUGGUUCGGUAAGUCGGGUGUUAAACCCCCAGGCUCAACCUGGGGACGCCACUCGAUACUGCUGUGACUAGAGUCCGGUAGGGGAGCGUGGAAUUCCUGGUGUAGCGGUGAAAUGCGCAGAUAUCAGGAGGAACACCAGCGGCGAAGGCGGCGCUCUGGGCCGGUACUGACACUGAGGAGCGAAAGCGUGGGUAGCAAACAGA